AGAGUUUGAGUCCUGGCUCAGGAUGAACGCUAGCUAUAGGCUUAACACAUGCAAGUCGAGGGAAACGGCAUUAUGUGCUUGCACAUUUUGGACGUCGACCGGCGCACGGGUGAGUAUCGCGUAUCCAACCUGCCCUUUACUUGGGGAUACCCCGUUGAAAGACGGCCUAAUACCCGAUGUGUUCAUUGAUGGCAUCUGAUUUGAACCAAAGAUUUAUCGGUAAAGGAUGGGGAUGCGUCUGAUUAGCUUGUUGGUGAGGUAACGGCUCACCAAGGCUACGAUCAGUAGGGGUUCUGAGAGGAAGGUCCCCCACAUUGGAACUGAGACACGGUCCAAACUCCUACGGGAGGCAGCAGUGAGGAAUAUUGGUCAAUGGACGUAAGUCUGAACCAGCCAAGUAGCGUGCAGGAUGACGGCCCUAUGGGUUGUAAACUGCUUUUGUUAGGGAGUAAAUGAAGGCACGUGUGCUUUUUUGCAUUUACCUUUCGAAUAAGGACCGGCUAAUUCCGUG
rnacentral:rRNA from 1 species